rnacentral:rRNA from 1 species
CAAGUACGAACGAAGCAGCAAUGCUAGUGGCGCAAGGGUGAGGAACACGUGAGUCGACCUACCCGCAAGUUUGGAACAGCUCCUGGAAACGGGAAUUAAUACCGGAUGUGAUCAUAUUGCUGCAUGGUGAUAUGAUUAAAGCAGUAAUGCGCUUGCGGAUGGGCUCGCGUCCCAUUAGCUAGUUGGUGAGGUAACGGGCCCACCAAGGCCAUGAUGGGUAGCUGGUCUGAGAGGACGACCAGCCACACUGGGACUGAGAACUGCCCAGACUCCUACGGGAGGCUGCAGUCGAGAAUUUUGGGCAAUGGACGAAAGUCUGACCCAGCAAUGCCGCGUGCGGGAUGAAGGUCUUCGGAUUGUAAACCGCUGUUUGGAGGGACGAAAAUUGACGGUACUUCCAGAGAAAGCCACGGCUAACUACGUGCCAGCCGCCGC